rnacentral:rRNA from 1 species
CCAGUUGAUCCUGCUGGAGAUUGCUGCUAUUGGGGUUCGACUAAGCCAUGCAAGUCAAGGGGGUUCUUCGGAACCACCGGCAAAAUGCUCAGUAACACGUUGUUAACCUGCCUUUAGUUUAGGAAUAGCCUUGGGAAACUGAGGGUAAUACCUAAUAUAGGAGUUGUUCUGGAAAUGAUUUCUCCUUUAAAGUUUCGGCGACUAAAGAUGGGACAGCGGCGGAUUAGAUUGUUGGCGGGGUAAUUGCCCACCAAGCCGAUGAUCCGUACGGGCCGUGAGAGCAGAAGCCCGGAGAGGGACACUGAGAUACUGGUCCCAGCCCUACGGGGUGCAGCAGGCGCGAAACCUUUACAAUGCACGAAAGUGUGAUAAGGGAACCCCAAGUGCUUAUGUAUAACAUAGGCUUUUGCCAAGUGUAAAUAGCUUGGCGAGUAAGUGGUGGGUAAGACUGGUGCCAGCAGCCGCGGUAACACCAGCGCCACGAGUGGGGAUCAGCUUUAUUGGGCCUAAAGCGUCCGUAGCUGGUUUAAUAAAUCCCUUGUGAAAUCAUUGGGCUUUACUCGAUGACGUGCAGGGGACACUGUUAAACUCGAGACCGGGAGGAGUUAAGGGUAUUUUAAGGGGAGCGGUAAAAUCUAUAAUCCUUAGAGGGCCACCUGUGGCGAAGGCGCCUAACUAGAACGGAUCUGACAGUGAGGGACGAAAGCUAGGGGAGCGAUCCGGAUUAGAUACCCGAGUAGUCCUAGCUGUAAACGCUGUGAGCAAGGCGUUGCAUAUCCUACGAGGAUGUGCAGUGUCGUAACGAAGGUGUUAAGCUCACCGCCUGGGAAGUACGGUCGCAAGACUGAAACUUAAAGGAAUUGGCGGGGGAGCACUACAAGGGGUGCGGCGUGCGGUUUAAUCUAACUACGCAGAGAACCUCACCAGAGGCGACGGCAGGAUGAAAGUCAGUCUAAAGGGCUUACUUGACGAGCCGAGAGGUAGUGCAUGGCCGCCGUCAGCUCGUGCCGUAAGGUGUCCUGUUAAGUCAGGCAACGAGCGAGACCUGUACCUAUAAUUGCUAACGAGUAGCUUGCUACGAUCGAGCACUUUAUAGGAACCGCCUCGGAAACGGGGAGGAAGGUGCAGGCUACGGUAGGUCUGUAUGCUCCGAAUCUUCUGGGCUACACGCGCGCAACAAUGGUAGGGACAAUGGGACGCAACUCCGAAAGGAGAAGCUAAACCUCUAAACCCUAUCCUAGUCUAGAUUGAGGGUUGCAACUCACCCUCAUGACAAUGGAAUCCCUAGUAAUCGGGUGUCAACAUCGCCCGGUGAAUAUGUCCCUGCUCCUUGCACACACCGCCCGUCAAACCACUCGAGCAGGGUCUAGGUGAACGCUACCUUUAUUGGGUAAUGUGAAUCUAGGCUCAGUGAGAUGGGUUAAGUCGUCACAAGGUA